CAGGAUGAACGCUAGGGGCAAGGUUUACCACAUGCAAGUCGAGGGGCAGCAUGUCCAGCAAUGGAUGAUGGCGACCGGCGGGAAGGGUGCGUAACGCGUGAGCAACAUGCCCUAUACAGGGAGAUACACCAGGGAAACUUGGUCUAAUAUCCCAUAGCAUUCAUUGAAGGCAUCUUUAAUGAAUUAAAGCUUCGGUGGUAUAGGAUUGGCUCGCGUGACAUUAGCCAGAUGGUAAGGUAACGGCUCACCAUAGCAAUGAUGUCUAGGGGUUUUGAGAGGAAGGCCCCCCACACUGGGACUGAGACACGGCCCAGACUCCUACGGGAGGCAGCAGUGAGGAAUAUUGGACAAUGGAUGGAAAUCUGAUCCAGCCAUGCCGCGUGCAGGAAGACGGCCUUAUGGGUUGUAAACUGCUUUUAUACGGGAGCAAUAAGGGUUACGAGUAAUCCGAUGAGAGUACUGUAUGAAUAAGGAUCAGCUAACUCCGUGCCAGCAGCCGCGGUAAUACGGAGGAUCCGAGCGUUAUCCGGAAUUAUUGGGUUUAAAGGGUGCGUAGGCGGCCAUUUAAGUCAGCGGUGAAAUUUUGCAGCUUAACUGUAACAGUGCCGUUGAUACUGUUUGGCUAGGAUUUGGUUGUAGUGUGCGGAAUGUGUGGUGUAGCGGUGAAAUGCUUAGAUAUCACACAGAACACCGAUUGCGAAGGCAGCACACUAAGUCAUUAUUGACGCUGAGGCACGAAAGUGUGGGGAUCAAACAGGAUUAGAUACCCUGGUAGUCCACACUGUAAACGAUGAUAACUCGCUGUCGGCGAUACACAGUCGGGGCCAAGCGAAAGC
rnacentral:rRNA from 1 species